CAUACUAAUUCCAUGCCAUGGUCCUGGGUCAAGAUCUGCACAAUCUGAUUGGCCAUAUCACCUCGGAUGGCAAGGGAACGGAAGUGGUCAAAGUCAUGGAGGCCCAGCUUCCGGAGACGCCUUGCAGCUGCCCGGUAUCUCAGACCUCAGGGAGAAAGAAAGGAUUCCAAGGGCAUAGCCAGCAUUCCUUACCAGGAAGGUGAAGAAAGUGUGGCUGGAAACAACCCAGAUGUCCAACAACAGUAGCAUGGAUGAAGAAAUGUGGUAUAUUCAUUAAGAUGGAAUACUAAAUAGCAGUUAAAAAUGAAGGAAUUCAGCUCAGUGCAUCAACAUGGAUGACUCUUACAAAUAUACAAUGUUCAGCAAAAAAGCAGGACACACGCAAAAAAUACAUGGCAAGCUUCCAUUUAUAUGAAUUUCAAAAAUGGAUAAGAUUAAAUUACAUUGUUUAGGGAUACAAAAAUAGUGCGCUAUAAAGAAAAUCAAGGAAAUAAGCAUAAGUCAGGCUAGUUGUUCCCUCUGGGCGGAGGGGGGCGGUUUAGGAACAGAGAAAGUUAAGGGACUUUUGGGGUUCUGACAAUGUCUUAUUCUUGAUCUGGACAAUGGUCAUAAAGGUGUCUGCUUUAUAAUAGUUCAUAAAGUGUAAACUUAUGUCUUAUGCACUUUUCUGUAUGUGUGGCAUAGUUCACAAAAAAUUCUUUUAAAAAGUCAUGCUGUUGUUGUAGAUCAAGGACCAUAUUUAGAGUAGGAAGGUCCUAUACUACGCUGCUUAAUUUUCUCCCCAUUUCUAUACUUAUUUCUUUGCUGACUCCCUCUUCCUGUCUGAUCUUGGGUGUGCCAGUUUCACUAGUCAUUUGUCACUUCAUCCCUCCUCUACCACAUCUCUUCACCUUCUCCAACCUCAAUUCCCCAAUCCCAGAAUACCCUGGAAGCUUGAAAAAUAAAAUAUAGACUCAAGCGCUCAAUCACUCAAGAUCCUGAUUCAGUAGGGCUACAGUGGGGCCUGGGAGUUUUAAAAAUGUAAAUAAAGCACCCUAUAAAUUACGGUACAUGCAUACAAUUUUGAAGCUGCUAAAAAGAAUGUCGUGACAUGAGUGAUCUCCAAAUUAUUAGGUGAAAAGCAAGGUGCCAAAUAGUGUGCUAUUAUUUGUAAAGGUAAAAGAGGUGAUAUUUAUACAUACAUAAAUGCCUACAUACACACAGGAUACAUACCCAAGAAAUUAUAAACAGCGGUUGCCAAUGUGUAGGGGGGGAAGGAGAAUUUAGGGUCAGGAACAGAGACUUACUUUUUGUUACAUGCCUGUGAUUUGCAAUCAUAGGGUCAGAAUAUCUGCUCCUGUAGGAUAUGGUAGUAGUUACAGAUGGGUGUCAAGGGUGGCAUGUCGAUAUUUUGAAUGUAAUUUCACUAUAAUCACUCUACGCCUAAGAAUACUUUGAGGUAAGAAGACGUGGCAAUGCCUUCCUCCGCCAAGGAGCUGUAUCCUCCCUCUCAACCCUCUCCACUGUACUCAGUCAACUCACUGCUUUUAAAUAAAUAUCUACUUGGCUCCAGGAUGCAUCCUA